rnacentral:rRNA from 1 species
AUACGUAGGGGGCGAGCGUUGUCCGGAAUGAUUGGGCGUAAAGGGCGCGUAGGCGGCCCAGUAAGUCUGGAGUGAAAGUCCUGUUUUUAAGAUGGGAAUUGCUUUGGAUACUGUCGGGCUUGAGUGCAGGAGAGGUAAGUGGAAUUCCCAGUGUAGCGGUGAAAUGCGUAGAGAUUGGGAGGAACACCAGUGGCGAAGGCGACUUACUGGACUGUAACUGAAGCUGGGGCGCGAAAGCGUUGGGAGCAAACAGGAUUAGAUACCCUGGUAGUCCACGCUGUAAACGAUGAUUACUAGGUGUGGGGGGACUGACCCCUUCCGUGCCGCAGGUAACACAAUAAGUAAUCCCCCUGGGGAGUACGGCCGCAAGGUUGAAACUCACAGGAAUUGGCGGGG